ACAGUCUGCAUGCCUAGGGGCUUGGUUUUAUACAACUGUCUCCAUGGAAGUGACUGGAACAACUGAUAUUGGAUAUUUGGAUGGGUUUCUCCAGGUGGGACAAUGCUUGGUGCAGGAGGGAGGUGAAGGAAGGCAUCAUGCAACCUGAUACCAUCCUGGUUGAUGAACAGCAGAGGAUCCAACAGUGCCCUCGCCAGGAGGUGAAGAUAUUCAAGGACCAGCCCCGUUCAGGCCUCUAGUGCUUCAUACAAGGAACUACUGAGGUCCUUCGGACGUGGGCUCGUCGGCACUGAACAAGCAGUAGUGACUGAUGUGCCGACCUACGUCCGACUCUGAUCUGCACAGCACCUCAGAGGCCUGGAGCUGAUGUGACCUGGACGUGCAGCCUUUUGCACCCUGAACUUUCACAGCUCGUUCCUCACCUGAAGAGCUGAAAGAGAAAGAGUGGU